AGAGAGAGAGAGAGAGAGAGAGAGGCUAGAAUACUUUUUAAUACACUUACGAAAUUUUAUUUUGCUCUAACACCAAAAUUUGAAAGGCCGUGGAUCUGUGAAUAUGCAAAAGAAUAGUAUUCGAUUGAUUGUAAAAGAAGUGAGGAUUUAGAUGGCACAUGUCUAUCACAGUUAUACAAGUGGUGCCAAUGACUUAAGUAAGUGUGAGCAUUUGUCUAUAUAAUUGCUUUAUUGAUUUCUUCUCUAAACCUAUGCCCAACAGCUUAUAUCAGAAGUUUAGACCCAUUAAUCAAUAGAGGAUGUACGCAAGUGGAACUACUACAUCAAUCACCAGGUUGAGGAGCAUGUAGUUGAAUCCUUGCACGAUCCAACUUGGAUAUGUCCCGUUACUUGUGAAACUUGCGGUUGAAGCUUAUGCUGUCAAGUAAAACUUCAAAAGGAUAGGCCCCUACUGUCUGUCUUAAAAGAAAAACGCAAACGUGGAGAAAAAGGCAGUUGCUUGCAUCCUAGUUUCCUACGAAGUUGACCCUUCCCAGAUGCAGAUGCAGGUGGUCUAAUUAGUCUUUGGAGUUCAGUAAGAACCAUCUUGGAUCAUCAUUUAGUAAUUUGAAAACUCUAUCUGAAUACUAUUGGAGGACAAGUUUCAACACACAGAUUGUGGCCCGCUUCCGAUAUGCUAGAUACGAAGAAUAAGCGAUGAAGAAAAUCAUGAAAGCCAAACAAGAAAAACAAAAUGGCAGCAAAAGCUUAAAUCCCAGAUCCCACAAAACAUGAAGCAAGCACCGCCAAAUCAGAGACCAAAGAAGCCACCUAGAGCAGCUAAACAAGACUUGAGUGUUGUCCUUGUGCUGCAUUUAAGCCUCAAAGAAACACCAUGCAGUCAGCUUUAGAGUUAAAACGUUAUCCAACCCAACUGAUGAUCCUACUCUUAAGAGCCACCAUUUUCUAAUGAGGUGAAAUCGACAAGGACAACAGGCUAGCACAUUUUAGGUGGGAUGCGACCAGUUGGUUUGAUGGGUUGACUUAUUUAAUCUAUUAAUUAGUUAUAAAUUUUACUUAUUCUGGGCCAUAUGGUUAGUUAAGACUAGGAAGCUUGCUUAACCACAAACAAAUGAGUUGACAUUUGAUGAUGAGCAAAUGGCAUGCCACCUUGAGUGUGACUGGGAAGUUGACCCUUGGAAGUGGAUUUGCCUGUUUAUCCCGAAGCUGAUCAGUUUCCUUAUUCAGCUAUGUAUAGCUGUCAACAGGGUCCAUUACAUUUUACAAUCCAAAUGAAAAGGCCCACUAAUAAUAAAAAUUUGAACACUACCAAACAAAAAAGAAGCAUACACAGCCGUUUUUCAAACCCGCCAACCCUUGGGGGCCAACUGCAAGAAAAAUUAUAUCUUUGGUAUCAAAUAUAUAUAUAUAUAUAUAUUUUAAAGAAGGGAGAAAAGGAAGGAAAGAAAAAGAAACCUGAUAGCAAAGACAAAGAAGAUCAUGAAGACAUGAACUCAUCAUUUUGAAUUGUCAAAUGGUGAUGGCGCUUUGGAAAAAGUAGAGAUUGUCGUCUAAAGAGCAUGAUUAUAGCAGUAUGUGCACUGUGGAGAGGCGCACGCUAAUGCACCAAGUGGA